CCUACGGGAGGCAGCCGUGGGGAAUAUUGGGCAAUGGGCGCAAGCCUGACCCAGCAACACCGCGUGAGGGAAGAAGGCUUUCGGUUUGUAAACUUCUUUUCUCAGGGACGAAGCCAGUGGCGGUACCUGAGGAAUAAGCCACGGCUAACUACGUGCCAGCCGCCGCGGUAAUACGUAGGUGGCAAGCGUUAUCCGGAUUUACUGGGUGUGAAGGGCGUGUAGGCGGGACUGCAAGUCAGAUGUGAAAACCACGGGCUCAACCUGUGGACUGCAUUUGAAACUGUAGUUAUUGAGGACUGGAGAGGCAGGCGGAAUUCCUAGUGUAGCGGUGAAAUGCGUAGAUAUUAGGAGGAACACCAGUGGCGAAGGCGGUCGGCUGGACAGCAACUGACGCUGAGGCGCGAAAGCGUGGGGAGCAAACAGGAUUAGAUACCCCAGUAGUC
rnacentral:rRNA from 1 species